rnacentral:rRNA from 1 species
CAGUAGCCACGGUAAUACGUAGGUGGCAAGCGUUGUCCGGAAUUAUUGGGCGUAAAGGGCUCGCAGGCGGUUUCUUAAGCCUGAUGUGAAAGCCCCCGGCUCAACCGGGGAGGGUCAUUGGAAACUGGGAAACUUGAGUGCAGAAGAGGAGAGUGGAAUUCCACGUGUAGCGGUGAAAUGCGUAGAGAUGUGGAGGAACACCAGUGGCGAAGGCGACUCUCUGGUCUGUAACUGACGCUGAGGAGCGAAAGCGUGGGGAGCGAACAGGAUUAGAUACCCGCGUAGUCCCUGUCUCUUAUAC